ensembl:lncRNA
GUGGGGACUUCUCGGGUUUGGCUCGCUGAUCUGCCUGUAUUUUGUGUGACUUUGUUUUAAUCAACAAAAAUUCCUUUACAGAUUUUCCUUCCAAAUAAAAAAACAGGAUUGAAAGAGAAGCCAUUACCAAUUCCCCUCUGUUUUCUUUUUUCUUAUACUAAAAGAGGAAUUGGGAACGAGGCUUGCGCUUGGCUUAGGCAUUGCCUGUGACAGCCUCACGCUUCAAGGCCUUUUCCCUCCUCGUCCACUUUCCUGAGGCUUUAAAUAGCCGUUUCGUGAAGGCCUCAGUCUUUUCUUCUCCAUGGGCUCCUCUCGCCGCUGGGAUGCUGCCUGGGCUCUGUGCCGUGGCCGCCGGGCCCGCGCUCGAGAUUCCGCCCCCGGCUGACGCUCGCUGGGUUGAUCGGGAAGGGAAAACGUGAGGAGUAGAACGAGGAGCUUUUCGGCAGCGUAGGCCUCUGGAGCCCGGCUUUCCCCCCCCACGCUCAGUUACCCCCCGGACCGUGCAAGUGACUAGACCGCAGGACUUGGGACGGACGCACGCACGCAACAGCGGGCACGCGUAGGUGAGUGACCAGGCGUGAAGGGGAUUGCAUAGCUGGGAUGGGGUAGUGUGACUCCUUGAUGGCAUGAUGACCCUAGAGUGGAUCUGAGUAUCUCCUUGAUGCUACUACCGCAGCGCUCUGACUCUCUGGGUUGGGAUUAGGUAACAUGGAGCCCCCCAUUUUUUGAUAAUUCUCUGAAUACUCUUUUUUUCUCCCCCCCCUCUGGCUCCCACCUUCAUAAUCCAUGAUAGGGAUUUUAAGCAACAGAUUCUACUUCAACACAGGAAAGGCUCUACAAAUGGAGACUUUCUUGACACUGAAAGCAUUCUCUUCAUGACAUUUUUGUGUUCCCAGAAUCAUUUCCAUCCAAGGCCUGCUUCUCUAAUGUUCCUAAAAAUUGGGAAUGAUGAGUUUUCAGACUAGAGUCUCUGACACAUGCAUUGGAGACAAGAAAACCACUCUGACCCAUCCUAGGAAUUUGAGGCCUUGGAUUGUAGGGUAGUCAGGGAGCUGUAUUCCUGGGUCCUUUAUCUUACCUGGUCCUGUGAGUGUCAUUGGAUAGGAAGAACUAAUAACUUAGUUAUAGAAAUAGUAAUUCCUGUUAUAAGGUUCUUAAUGUGUUCCCAUACUCUGUUUAGAGAACUGAAUUUCUGGGACUUUAUCAAAGUGGAGAUGAAGAUUCAAUUUUUUUUCUCUCAUUUUUCUUUCAAAAGUAUUGGUUUGUAGCACCUCCUAUUAGUAAAGGUGCAAGGGAGCAUGAUGGGAUUAGUAUUACUACAGAGGCACAAAAAAUGCUUCAAGAUUUGAGAUCAGGAAUGAUCUUCUGAAAGUGGCUUUGUAACUACUGUCUAGAAGGCUAUUCCCACUUGUACCUGCUUUGCAUGUUAUACUUAUUUUACCUACCUAUGUGUUUUGCUAACAAAACAGAAUUGGAAUGUUUACCUACUUAUGUAUUUUGCUAACAAACAGAAUUGGAAUGUUUACCUACCUAUGUAUUUUGCUAACAAACAGAAUUGGAAUAUUUAUGUUGGGGAAAGGGGGAGGAAGGCAAAGUUGGAAAUAAUCACUUUUGUGAUUCUUUUGUGGAUUUUUAGAGUCCUCAUCUUGUUUGUGGUGCAGUGUUGCAGAUGUUUCAGAUUCAAGAAACCAAGGGUUUUUCUACGUGGAUCACUGCUCAAAUUGGGUGGCAAGCAAACAUUUGGAUUUUUUUUUCUUUUAUUCAAUCUGUUUUUGUAUUGAAGUAAUUAAAG